GAUGAACGCUGGCGGCGUGCCUAAUACAUGCAAGUCGAGCGAACGGACGAGAAGCUUGCUUCUCUGAUGUUAGCGGCGGACGGGUGAGUAACACGUGGAUAACCUACCUAUAAGACUGGGAUAACUUCGGGAAACCGGAGCUAAUACCGGAUAAUAUUUUGAACCGCAUGGUUCAAAAGUGAAAGACGGUCUUGCUGUCACUUAUAGAUGGAUCCGCGCUGCAUUAGCUAGUUGGUAAGGUAACGGCUUACCAAGGCAACGAUGCAUAGCCGACCUGAGAGACGGAUCGGCCACACUGGAGCUGAGACGCGGUCCAGAGUACUACGGGAGGCAGCAGUAGGGAAUCUGCCGCAAUGGGCGAAAGCCUGACGGAGCAACGCGGAGUGAGUGAUGAAGGUCUUCGGAUCGUAAAACUCUGUUAUUAGGGAAGAACAUAUGUGUAAGUAACUGUGCACAUCUUGACGGUAACUAAUAAGAAAGCCACGGCUAACUACGUG
rnacentral:rRNA from 1 species